rnacentral:lncRNA from 1 species
AGGAUCCCGAGCCCUGUGUCUUUACUCUGUGCAGGACGCCGCAGCAGGCUGGCUCUUGGAGUACCCAGUGCUAGUGGCCUAGCCCAUGCUCCAGCCCUAGGGCUCAGCCAGUGCGCUCACCUCGCCCCCUGAGAGGGCACUGUGCAGUCUCAGGUCCACGUGGAGUGUCCUGCCGAGUGCCUCCCGGACCCUCGAUGGCCUUCAGUGCUCUCUUGCUUCUCGGUCUGCUCCACGGGGAACCCUCUCUGCUACCUCUCUACCUGCACAUCUCCCUAGGUACUGUUUCUGCUCUGGUAGAAUACGAGAAAUUACACUUCAACCAAAGUAGAACAUUUUGGACAGAAAAAAUCGUCACAGUGUAUAUUUUUUAUAUAACAGACAUUACAUAUGUACUAUCAAGUUAUUUAAAUGGUAGUGGGGUGAUCUAAAAGGUGGCUUUGAAUUCUCUAGUGUGAGUGUGAGACACAGAUAAGUGUGUCAGUGAUUUUUAAACCUGUUUUGAAAAAGCAGUGGAAGGUGAUUGUAGCUUGAAACAGCUGCAGAGGGGAGGGCUGGGCUGCUCGCCCCCGGGCCCUCGCACUGCCUGGAUUGGCCUCCCACCUUAGGGCUCGGCAGGCCACACGUGGAACACUCCCCCAUCUGACAUGAGAUCCAUCUGAGAAACACGUCAACUGCCUGGGACCCUCAGCUGCCCCUGGCUUGGAGGUGGGGGCACCUCUCCUUGGGCCCCAGGAGGUGGGCCAGUUAGUGACCAGUGCCCUUCAGUAGACACCAUGACUGCUGCUCAGUGAGCACCACAGGUGGGGGUACCUCAUGCGCAUUCCUUUAUGUGUCUGAUGCCUCUGCAGCCUAGAGGUCCCUGGGGACAGAUGCACUUUGUUGCUUUCAACUUUGGGUCUCAGGGCUCAGUGCGGGACUGACAUUUGGAGGGCACUCGGUUGUUUGCAGUAGAUCUUGAGGCUGGUGCAGUGGUGCACACCUGUGUUCCCAGCUGCUUGCUUGGGAGGAGGCAGGAGGAUCUCUUGAGCCCACGAGUUAGAAACCAGCCUAAGCAACAUAGUGAAACCCCUACUAAAAGAAUAAAAUAAAUAAAAUAAAGCUAUCUCAAGAAGAAAUUAUCUCUGAAAAUCUUUAACAUCUGUGGUUAUUCCAGAGAGUCCCAGGUCUGUGUGCUUGACGCGGCCCCAGGUGAG